CGGCAUGCUUACACAUGCAGUCGACGGCAGCGGGGAAGCUGCUUCCUGCCGCGAGUGCGAACGGGUGAGUAAUACAUCGGAACGUGCCCUGUAGUGGGGGAUAACUAGUCGAAAGAUUAGCUAAUACCGCAUACGACCUGAGGGUGAAAGUGGGGGACCGCAAGGCCUCAUGCUAUAGGAGCGGCCGAUGUCUGAUUAGCUAGUUGGUGGGGUAAAGGCCUACCCAAGGCGACGAUCAGUAGCUGGUCUGAGAAGGACGAUCAGCCCACACUGGGACUGAGACACGGCCCCAGACUCCUUACCGGGAGGCAGCAGUGGGGAAUUUUGGACAAUGGGGCGAAAAGCCUGAUCCCAGCAAUGCCGCGUGUGUGAAGAAGGCCUUCGGGGUUGUAAAGCACUUUUGUCCGGAAAGAAAUGGCUCUGGUUAAUACCCCGGAGUCGAUGACGGUACCGGAAGAAUAAGGACCGGCUAACUACGUGCCAGCAGCCGCGGUAAUACGUAGGGUCCAAGCGUUAAUCGGAAUUACUGGGCGUAAAGCGUGCGCAGGCGGUUGUGCAAGACCGAUGUGAAAUCCCCGGGCUUAACCUGGGAAUUGCAUUGGUGACUGCACGGCUAGAGUGUGUCAGAGGGAGGUAGAAUUCCACGUGUAGCAGUGAAAUGCGUAGAGAUGUGGAGGAAUACCGAUGGCGAAGGCAGCCUCCUGGGAUAACACUGACGCUCAUGCACGAAAGCGUGGGGAGCAAACAGGAUUAGAUACCCUGGUAGUCCACGCCCUAAACGAUGGCAACUAGUUGUUGGGGCAUUCAUUUCCUUAGUAACGUAGCUAACGCGUGAAGUUGACCGCCUGGGGAGUACGGUCGCAAGAUUAAAACUCAAAGGAAUUGACGGGGACCCGCACAAGCGGUGGAUGAUGUGGAUUAAUUCGAUGCAACGCGAAAAACCUUACCUACCCUUGACAUGCCACUAACGAAGCAAAAAUGCAUUAGGUGCUCUAAAGAGAAAGUGGACACAGGUGCUGCAUGGCUGUCGUCAGCUCGUGUCGUGAGAUGUUGGGUUAAGUCCCGCAACGAGCGCAACCCUUGUCUCUAGUUGCUACGAAAGGGCACUCUACAGAGACUGCCGGUGACAAACCGGAGGGAAGGUGGGGGAUGACAUCAAGUCCCUCAUGGCCCUUAUGGGUAGGGCUUCGCACGUCAUACAAUGGGUGCGUACAAAAGGGUUGCCAAGCCGCGAGGUGGAAACUAAUCCCACAAAAUGCAUCGUAGUCCGGAUCGUAUUCUGCAACUCGACUACGUGACGCUGGAAUCGCUAGUAAUCGCGGAUCAGCAUGCCGCGCUGAAUACAUUCCCGGGUCUUGUACACACCGCCCGUCACACCAUGGGAGUGGGCUUUACCAGAAGUAAUUAGCCUAACCGCAAGGAGGGCGAUUACCACGGUACGGUUCAUGAC
rnacentral:rRNA from 1 species